GACCCGGUAGCUCAGUUGGUAGAGCAGUGGCCUUUUAAGCCAACGGUCGUGGGUUCAAUCCCCACCCGGGUCACCA
rnacentral:tRNA from 1 species